rnacentral:rRNA from 1 species
AUUGAACGCUGGCGGCAGGCCUAACACAUGCAAGUCGAACGAGUGGCGGACGGGUGAGUAAUGUCUGGGAAACUUCCCGAUGGAGGGGGAUAACUACUGGAAACAGUAGCUAAUACCGCAUACCAUCGGAUGUGCCCAGAUUGGAUUAGCUUGUUGGUGGGGUAACGUCGCAACUAGUCGACGAUCCCUAGCUGGUCUGAGAGUAUGACCCGCCACACGGGAACUGAGACACGGUCCCAACUCUGAGUGGAGGCAGCAGUGGGGAAUAUUGCACAGUGUGCGCAAGCCUUAUGCGGCCAGUCCGCGUGUAUGAAGAAGGCCUUCGGGGUGUAAAGUACUUUCAGCGUGGAGGCGUUACUCGCAGAAGAAGCACCGGCUAACUCCGUGCCAGCAGCCGCGGUAAUUC